CCUGGUCUUGACAUCCACAGAACUUUCCAGAGAUGGAUUGGUGCCUUCGGGAACUGUGAGACAGGUGCUGCAUGGCUGUCGUCAGCUCGUGUUGUGAAAUGUUGGGUUAAGUCCCGCAACGAGCGCAACCCUUAUCCUUUGUUGCCAGCGAUUAGGUCGGGAACUCAAAGGAGACUGCCAGUGAUAAACUGGAGGAAGGUGGGGAUGACGUCAAGUCAUCAUGGCCCUUACGACCAGGGCUACACACGUGCUACAAUGGCGCAUACAAAGAGAAGCGACCUCGCGAGAGCAAGCGGACCUCAUAAAGUGCGUCGUAGUCCGGAUUGGAGUCUGCAACUCGACUCCAUGAAGUCGGAAUCGCUAGUAAUCGUGGAUCAGAAUGCCACGGUGAAUACGUUCCCGGGCCUUGUACACACCGCCCGUCACACCAUGGGAGUGGGUUGCAAAAGAAGUAGGUAGCUUAACCUUCGGGAGGGCGCUUACCACUUUGUGAUUCAUGACUGGGGUGAAGUCGUAACAAGGUAACCGUAGGGGAACCUGC
rnacentral:rRNA from 2 species